ACGAACGCUGGCGGCGUGCUUCACCCAUGCAAGUCGAACGGGAUUUAGUAAACGGAAGCCUCGGUGGAAGAUUACUAAUGAGAGUGGCGAACGGGUGAGUAACGCGUGAGCAACCUGCCUAUGACAGUGGGAUAGCCUCGGGAAACCGGGAUUAAUACCGCAUAAAAUCGUAGAAACACAUGUUUCAACGGUCAAAGAUUUAUCGGUCAUAGAUGGGCUCGCGUCUGAUUAGCUAGUUGGUGAGAUAACAGCCCACCAAGGCGACGAUCAGUAGCCGGUCUGAGAGGAUGAACGGCCACAUUGGAACUGAGACACGGUCCAAACUCCUACGGGAGGCAGCAGUGGGGAAUAUUGCACAAUGGGGGAAACCCUGAUGCAGCGACGCCGCGUGAACGAAGAAGGUAUUCGUAUCGUAAAGUUCUGUCCUAUGGGAAGAUAAUGACAGUACCAUAGAAGAAAGCUCCGGCUAAAUACGUG
rnacentral:rRNA from 1 species